rnacentral:rRNA from 1 species
AACGAACGCUGGCGGCAUGCCUAACACAUGCAAGUCGAACGACACCUCCGGGUUUGGCGGGGCACGGGGGCGUAACGGGUGGGAACCUGCCCUUAGGUUCGGAAUAAAUUCCCGGAAAGGGUGCUAAAACCGGAAAAUAUCCUGGAAACAAAUGUUUGUCGCCUUUGGAUGGGCGCGCGUUGGCUUAGCUUGGUGGUAGGGUAAGAGCCUACCAAGGCGUCGUUCGAUAGAUGGUCAGAGAGGAGGAGCAGCCACACUGGGAGGGAGCCACGGCCCAGACUCCUACGGAAGGGGGGAGAGGGGGAUACUGGACUACGGGCGAAGGCCUGAUGCAGCAAUGGCUCGUAAGUGAUGAUGGCCGUAGGGUAGUAAAGCUCUCUUACCCGGGAUGGGAAUGACGGUACCGGGAGAAUAAGCACCGGCUAACUCCGUG